UUUUAAAUAUAUAGUAAACUAUAUAUAAUACAACAUUUAACAAUCGGGUCACUUCCAACCGUGCGGGUUGCUUUGUGCAUGGCUGUUAACAGGUGGUGAGCGACAAGCCGGGACGUGUGUAGCCACCUUCCCUCUGCCCAUGGCCCUGGCAAGUCGUUCACGUUCUUCCCUGUCGAGUGUGGGGGCAGCCCGGAAAUAUCACUGAGGACAGGCCGUCGUGGGAGUUUGAGAGGAGCCAGUCUGCCUCAUGGAUGGCCUGGGAGCUCCCAUGACACGUGCAGGGAAGUUCACAGCCACGGGAGGAGGGCCAGGCAGCACCUGCAGAAAAGAUCUCGGCUGCUGAGCAGAGGAAGCCCCGGA
rnacentral:lncRNA from 1 species